AUACUUACCUGGCAGGGGGAUGCCAUGAUCAGGAAGGUGGUUUUCCCAGGGCGAGACUUCCAUUGCACUCCGGAUGUGCUGACCCCUGUGAUUUCCCCAAAUGUGGGAAGCUUGACUGAAUAAUUUGUGGUAGUGGGGGACUGCAUUUGCGUUCAAUAA
rnacentral:snRNA from 1 species